UACGUAGGAGGCGAGCGUUGUCCGGAGUUACUGGGCGUAAAGGGUGCGCAGGCGGCGGUUCGCGUGGCGAGAUGAAAUCUCCUGGCUUACCUGGGAGGAUGGUCGCCAGACGGGAUCGCUUGAGGGUCGGAGAGGGGCGUGGAAUUCCAGGUGUAGCGGUGAAAUGCGUAGAUAUCUGGAGGAACACCGGUGGCGAAGGCGGCAUCCUGGACCAACACUGACGCUGAGUGAGCGAAAGCCAGGGGAGCAAACGGG
rnacentral:rRNA from 1 species